AUCAAACGCUGGCGGCGGUGGCCUAACACAUGCAAGUCGAACGAGGAAAGUGGAGCAAUCCAUGAGUACAGUGGCGUACGGGUGAGUAAACACGUGACUAACCUACCCUCGAGUGGGGAAUAACCUCGAGAAACCGGGGGCUAAUACCGCAUAACAUCUACGGAUCAAAUGCGUAAGCAGCUUGAGGAGGGGGGGGUCGCGGCCGAAUUAGCUAGUUGGCGGGGGUAAUGGCCCACCAAGGCAAUGAUCGGUAGCCGGCCUGAGAGGGCGCACGGCCACACUGGAACUGAAACACGGUCCCAGACUCCUAACGGGAGGCAGCAGUGGGGAAUUUUGCGCAAUGGGGGAAACCCUGACGCAGCAACGCCGCGUGGAGGAUGAAGCCCCUUGGGGUGUAAACUCCUUUCGAUCGGGACGAUUAUGACGGUUACCGGAUGAAGAAGCACCGGCUACCUCUGUGCCAGCAGCCGCGGUAAUACAGAGGGUGCAAGCGUUGUUCGGAAUUAUUGGGCGUAAAGGGGUGCGUAGGCGGUGCGGUAAGUCUGUUGUGGAAUCUCCGGGCCUCAACUCGGAGUCUGCAACGGAAACUGCCGUGCUUGAGUAUGGGAAGAGGUGAGUGGAAUUCCCGGUGUAGCGGGGUGAAAAUGCGUAGAUAUCGGGAGGAACACCUGUGGCGAGAAAGCGGCUCACUGGACCAUUACUGACGGCUGAUGCACGAAAGCUAGGGGAGGCAAACAGGAUUAGAUACCCUGGUAGUCCUAGCCCUAAACUAUGAUCGCUUGGUGUGGCAGGUACCCAAUCCUGCCGUGCCGGAGCUAACGCGUUUUAAGCGAUCCGCCUGGGGAGUACGGUCGCAAGGCUGAAACUCAAGGAAUUGACGGGGGGCCCGCACAAGCGGUGGAGCAUUGUGGUUCAAUUCGACGCAAACGCGAAGAACCUUACCCUGGGCUCGAAGCGUAGUGGACCGAGGUAGAAAUAUCUUCUUCCCGCAAGGGACUGCUACGUAGGUGCUGCAUGGCUGUCGUCAGCUCGUGUCGUGAGAUGUUGGGUUAAGGUCCCGCAACGAGCGCAACCCUUAUUGCCAGUUGCCAUCAUUUAGUUGGGCACUCUGGCGAAACCGCCCCGGAUAACGGGGGAGGAAGGUGGGGAUGACGGUCAAGUCCUCAUGGCCUUUAUGUCCAGGGCUACACACGUGCUACAAUGGUUGGUAACAAAACCGUCGCCAAACCCGCGAGGGGGAGCUAAUCGGAAAAAAAGCCAAUCCCAGUCCGGAUUGGAGUCUGCAACUCGACUCCAUGAAGCUGGAAUCGCUAGUAAUCGCAGAUCAGCACGCUGCGGUGAAUACGUUUCCCGGGGCCCUUGUACACACCGCCCGUCACAUCACGAAAGUGGGCUGUACUAGAAGCCGGUGCGCUGACCCGCAAGGGAGGCAGCCGUCCAAGGUAUAACUCAUGAUUGGGGUG
rnacentral:rRNA from 1 species